AGAUGGCGACCGGCGCACGGGUGAGUAACACGUAUCCGACCUGCCGAUAACUCGGGGAUAGCCUUUCGAAAGAAAGAUUAAUACCCGAUGGCAUAAUUAGACCGCAUGGUCUUAUUAUUAAAGAAUUUCGGUUAUCGAUGGGGAUGCGUUCCAUUAGGCAGUUGGUGAGGUAACGGCUCACCAAACCUUCGAUGGAUAGGGGUUCUGAGAGGAAGGUCCCCCACAUUGGAACUGAGACACGGUCCAA
rnacentral:rRNA from 1 species